UUACGGGAGGCAGCAGUAGGGAAUUUUGGACAAUGGGCGCAAGCCUGAUCCAGCCAUGCCGCGUGAGUGAAGAAGGCCUUCGGGUUGUAAAGCUCUUUCGGCGGGGAAGAAAUGGCACGGGUUAAUACCCUGUGUCGAUGACGGUACCCGCAUAAGAAGCACCGGCUAACUACGUGCCAGCAGCCGCGGUAAUACGUAGGGUGCGAGCGUUAAUCGGAAUUACUGGGCGUAAAGCGUGCGCAGGCGGUUAUAUAAGUCAGAUGUGAAAUCCCCGGGCUCAACCUGGGAACUGCAUUUGAGACUGUAUGACUAGAGUUUGGCAGAGGGGGGUGGAAUUCCACGUGUAGCAGUGAAAUGCGUAGAGAUGUGGAGGAACACCGAUGGCGAAGGCAGCCCCCUGGGCCAAUACUGACGCUCAUGCACGAAAGCGUGGGGAGCAAACAGGAUUAGAAACCCCAGUAGUCCG
rnacentral:rRNA from 1 species